rnacentral:rRNA from 1 species
GACGAACGCUGGCGGCGUGCUUAACACAUGCAAGUCGAACGGAAAGGCCCUGCUUUUGUGGGGUGCUCGAGUGGCGAACGGGUGAGUAACAAGUGAGUAACCUGCCCUUGACUUUGGGAUAACUUCAGGAAACUGGGGCUAAUACCGGAUAGGAACUCCUGCUGCAUGGUGGGGGUUGGAAAGUUUCGGCGGUUGGGGAUGGACUCGCGGCUUAUCAGCUUGUUGGUGGGGUAGUGGCUUACCAAGGCUUUGACGGGUAGCCGGCCUGAGAGGGUGACCGGCCACAUUGGGACUGAGAUACGGACCAGACUCCUACGGGAGGCAGCAGUGGGGAAUCUUGCACAAUGGGCGGAAGCCUGAUGCAGCAACGCCGCGUGCGGGAUGACGGCCUUCGGGUUGUAAACCGCUUUCGCCUGUGACGAAGCGUGAGUGACGGUAAUGGGUAAAGAAGCACCGGCUAACUACGUG